CCCCCCGCCACCUCCCGUUCCACUCAAGCACGUGCACCAGCCCAGUGAAAAAAAGGCACAGAAAAGCUUGUCUCAUCAUCUAUGACAUGAAGAGUGGUUUCAAUCUGUGGUUCCCAAACUGUAGAAGCCCUAGAGUGGUCACAGGAGAUUCAGCCUCUGGCUCCAUGAAGACUCUGAGGACCCUGUAUAUCUGGAACUGUGUAAUUGCUGGGGGAAGAAUAAAAUACAAAUGGGUUUUAAUGAUUCAA